AUGCAAGGGCAAUCCAACUGCGACAUCUGUCAUCCCAUUAAUCACCAGGGUUGAUUUGGCUGAUCUGAAUGGCUAGGAGGAUGUCCCCUUCCUUCUUUACUGCU
ensembl:misc_RNA 7SK 7SK RNA